CCUACGGGUGGCAGCAGUGGGGAAUAUUGCACAAUGGGGGAAACCCUAAUGCAGCGACGCCGCGUGAGUGAAGAAGUAUUUCGGUACGUAAAGCUCUAUCAGCAGGGAAGAAAAUGACGGUACCUGACUAAGAAGCCCCGGCUAACUACGUGCCAGCAGCCGCGGUAAUACGUAGGGGGCAAGCGUUAUCCGGAUUUACUGGGUGUAAAGGGAGCGUAGACGGCAGCGCAAGUCUGGAGUGAAAUCCCAUGGCUUAACCAUGGAACUGCUUAGGAAACUGUGCAGCUAGAGUGCAGGAGAGGUAAGCGGAAUUCCUAGUGUAGCGGUGAAAUGCGUAGAUAUUAGGAGGAACACCAGUGGCGAAGGCGGCUUACUGGACUGUAACUGACGUUGAGGCUCGAAAGCGUGGGGAGCAAACAGGAUUAGAUACCCCGGUAGUC
rnacentral:rRNA from 1 species